rnacentral:rRNA from 1 species
GUGGGGAAUCUUGCGCAAUGGGCGAAAGCCUGACGCAGCCAUGCCGCGUGAAUGAUGAAGGUCUUAGGAUUGUAAAAUUCUUUCACCGGGGACGAUAAUGACGGUACCCGGAGAAGAAGCUCCGGCUAACUUCGUGCCAGCAGCCGCGGUAAUACGAAGGGGGCUAGCGUUGCUCGGAAUUACUGGGCGUAAAGGGCGCGUAGGCGGACAGCUUAGUCAGAGGUGAAAGCCCAGGGCUCAACCGUGGAAUGGCCUUUGAUACUGGCUGUCUUGAGUUUGGGAGAGGUGAGUGGAACUCCGAGUGUAGAGGUGAAAUUCGUAGAUAUUCGGAAGAACACCAGUGGCGAAGGCGACUCACUGGCCCAAUACUGACGCUGAGGCGCGAAAGCGUGGGGAGCAAACAGGAUUAGAUACCCUUGUAGUCC